UUCCGAAGGUCAGGUGGGUCCUAGACUGCCUUUGAGAGCCAGGGCUCAGGGAUGCGACCAGGGCUCAGCCAUUCACAGGGGUCGGCAGCACUUUCUGAACCCCGGGCCUCUGCUGGGGCUAGGGCGCACGUGGGCCACCAUGGGCUGCAGGCUUCACAGCCCCUGCCCCUGGACUUCUCUGCUCCACAAGAUUUUGAGAGCAAAGUUUCAACACAAGUCAAGAGCAAGAUCCCUUUCCAGAAGGCGCCCCCAAAAUUUGGGAGGCACAGGUAACCUGAAAAGGCAGAGUUUAAUGCAGUUUCUGGAAAGAUGGGACUUCAGAGGCUGCUCACAAUCCGGACGCCAGUGUAUCUUCCCCAGGCGGCUGGUGGAAGGCUCACGGGGCAGGCACGAGACACACAAGCUCAUGCAGACAGGCAUCUGUGUUCGUCUCUUCAGCCUUUUUUUUCAAGUUUGAAGAACAAAGAGCAUGAAGGCCAGGCCCCCUUGCCCCUUACUAAGCCUCAGCGCAGCCUAUACAGAGCCAACGAUAAAGCGGCAUCGCCUGGCAGGCCAUGACAGAGCUUUCCAGAAACAGAAACCAGGGCAUGAAAGGGAAGGCUCACACCACCCGUCCCCCACUGCGCCGCUGGCCCUGCCGGGCUGCACGGCUACCAGACGGGACGGGAGGUCCCUGAAAGCAUCCAGCUGCCAGGACGUUCCUCGGUGGUUCUGCAGAUCAGGUCUCCCGGCCACUCCAGGGGAAGUGGGGGUGAGACACCCCGCCUUUGAUGUAUGAACUCCGUCCUGAAAUCGGACCCUGAGGCAGAAACUGUUUUCUCUCUUCCAUCCCCUGCACCCAGUGGGAAGCUCCAGGCGCACUUCCUCCCCAGCUGCUUUUCCCAUAUUGUCAAUUACCUUCCUGCUGAGGGCAAGGGAUUCCUCUGCCCUGAAAGGGUCCACCUCCAAAAGGCCGCCAGUUUCCUCCUUCCUCUUCUCCACAUGAGGUGACCCUCAGUCUCACACACCGGUCAGUCGGGCGGGAUGUGUCCUCUCUCAUUGACUUAACAUCAGAGCUGGCUACAGCUUGUGUCCAUCCAGAGCUGACAAAUUUGAACCCAACACCUUCACCCAGGGUCCCAGAAUGGUGAACCCCAGGGUCUGGCUCAGAAGGACACAUUUUUGAGUUGAUUCAGUGAAGUCCUGGAUUUUUCUGGGUAUCGAGAAUGAAAUCUAAAUAACUUAUGUAUUCACAGUGUUCUGGAGUUUAGGAAACCCUGGACCGGGGAGCUGACGAGAUGCUGGCUGCAAGCUUCGUCUUAGGAGGCUGGUGGAAAAAACUGACCUACAAAUAACAAUCUGCAAAGCUGACAUUUACUGUGUGAGGCAUAAGACAGGGAACAGCAGAGGCCACGGCUCCGCGUGUCACGGGUCCUAAGAUGACACUUCUGUCCAGGAGCAGGAGAGAGCAGACCACCAAGGGGCCCGGCCCACGUCAGGAGGGGCUUCACAGAGACCCUCCCCCUCCCCAGGAUCAACAACUGACCCACGACGUAGGACUCGGAAUAACUCUGGAAAAUGAAUGUGCUCCCUAAGACAAACUUCCCACGAGGCAGGCGUGUAAAUAGUUCAUACUUCACCGACAUCAGGACGAAGCAGGGCGUGUACGUCUCCUAGCACAGGGUAAAGUCAUUCCCAGCUGUUAGUACUUUUUUAUAGUAUAAAUAAAAAGUGUUACUUCCCCUCAGACCCUUCCAGUGACUUCCCACGGUGCCUGGCAUAGAAUCCACACUUUGUCCUUUACCCGCCAUGGUCAAGGCAUGCGGUUCCUCUUCUUCCUCCGCCCUCUAACCCACCCCUCCCUCGGUGUCACAGGUCCUCUGUCACUGUGUAACAGAAAUCGUAACUGGGCCAACUCCACUGGCUCAGGAACCACUCAGGGGAUCAGUACAAUUUACUUCUGGGUGUACCUGGGGUUAGGAAGCACUGCCUAGGGUGCACUCUCAGGCACUGUCCCGGGCUCUGCUUCCUGGCCACCGUAACUAAGCCACUCUGCUCCCCCACCAGCAUGCACCAUGACGUUCCUGCCCUGGAGCCAGGAAACCACGGACUCAAUCCCGAAACCUGGAGCCCAUCCUUUCCCGUUUAUGCAGCACGUGUGGGUACCGAGUCCCAGCCACAGGAGAGCUGGCUGACACCCGUUCUGAGCCUCCUUGAGCACACGCCCACGCUUCCCCUGGGCCUAGAAGACUCUGUUCUUUAAAGGACUUGGACCCCACUUCUCUAAGGAUCAGCUCCACAACCAGUUUCUCAAGAAACCACCGGGCAGAAAUGCUUCCCGGCCGCGCUAUCUGCUCACGUUGUUGAAUGCCAGUCUUGCUUCCUCCACUGCCAGCUCCGAGAAAGACGGAGACUGUGCCUGUUUGUCCCUGCAUUCCUGGUGCCUAAACUGAGCCUCAGCGCACAGCGCGCUCUUUCACGAGGAGUGAACCACCUCAUCUCUGCAGCUGGUGUCCAGCACCACAGGGAAGGACCAAAAGAGCAGAGCCAAAGCAGAAACAUAUUUAUAAGCCUUCCGCACCCGCUCUUUCAUAAACACCAGCCACGAUCCGGCUGCGUCAGCAGAGCACACGCAGGCAGCCCCAGCUCCUGCUCCUGCUCCUGCUCCUGCUCGGCUGUACCCGGGCCUGCUCAGAGCUCACUGCUAACCCGCACUUGGAAACGCGCCAUACCCCCACAAAGCGGUCCCCUCUGGGGAACGACAGUGACCAUGCAUCCGCCCAGCAAGCUGCCAUCUUCCAGUUCUCCAGGCUGUCUCUGCCGACCGGCUUUCAGUAACACAGGUUGCUAAGCAACCCCCAAGGAGCCGGGAAGAUGGAAAAAAGUGCCUGCCAGAGAUGCUUUAUGACCCGAAUGAGCUGCCCUACGUGUGUCUGGCUGCCUUCAAGGUAACCAAAUAAGAGAUAACACUGGGCUAUUUUUGCAUCAUGAAGAAAAACAUUUGGCUCCUGCCCAGCAGGGCAAUUACCUAUCAAAGCCUCGGCAAGGCCCCGUGGGAUGAGAAAUGGUAACGGAUAUGGAGGGAAAGAGGCGUCACUGACCUUCAUAAAUGCUGAUGAUAUGAGGGUGGCUGAGGGAUGACAUGAUCUCAAUCUCUCGUCUGAUGUGAACCAUGUCUUGUUCAUCCUUAAUUUUGUCCUUACGAAUGGAUUUUAUAGCAACCUAUAAAGUCAGGAAAUGAAAUGUUACUCAGAGAACUAAACAGAUGCAAAUCAGCCAUUGGGGGGAGGGUUAAAAAAUAAAUACAGAUGUUACUUGUUGGCAAAACUGACAAUCACCAAAACAAAGUUCCAAAAUCCC